UACGAAGGUGGCAAGCGUUGUUCGGAUUUACUGGGCGUACAGGGAGCGUAGGCGGUUGGAUAAGCCCUCCGUGAAAUCUCCAGGCUUAACCUGGAAAGUGCAGAGGGGACUGUUCAGCUAGAGGAUGGGAGAGGAGCGCGGAAUUCCCGGUGUAGCGGUGAAAUGCGUAGAGAUGUGGAGGAACACCGGUGGCGAAGGCGGGGUCUCUGGGCAGUUGCUGACACUGAGGCGCGGACAGCGUGGGGAGCGAACAGG
rnacentral:rRNA from 1 species